rnacentral:rRNA from 1 species
AGGACGAACGCUGGCGGCGUGCUUAACACAUGCAAGUCGAGCGGUAAGGCCCUUUCGGGGGUACACGAGCGGCGAACGGGUGAGUAACACGUGAGCAAUCUGCCCUUCACUUCGGGAUAAGCCUCGGAAACGGGGUCUAAUACCGGAUAUGACUGCGCCAUGCAUGUGGUGUGGUGGAAAGUUCUGGCGGUGAGGGAUGAGCUCGCGGCCUAUCAGCUUGUGGUGGGGUAAUGGCUACCAAGGCUUCGACGGGUAGCCGGCCUGAGAGGUGACCGGCCACACUGGGACUGAGACACGGCCCAG